rnacentral:rRNA from 1 species
UACGGAGGGAGCUAGCGUUAUUCGGAAUUACUGGGCGUAAAGUGCACGUAGGCGGCUUUGUAAGUAAGAGGUGAAAGCCUGGAGCUCAACUCCAGAACUGCCUUUUAGACUGCAUCGCUUGAAUCCAGGAGAGGUGAGUGGAAUUCCGAGUGUAGAGGUGAAAUUCGUAGAUAUUCGCAAGAACACCAGUGGCGAAGGCGGCUCACUGGCCCGAUACUGACGCUGAGGCACGAAAGCGUGGGGAGCAAACAGG